UACGUAGGCAGCGAGCGUUGUUCGGAGUUACUGGGCGUAAAGGGUGUGUAGGCGGUUUUCUAAGUUUGGUGUGAAAUCUCCCGGCUCAACCGGGAGGGUGCGCCGAAAACUGGGAGACUAGAGUGCGGGAUGGGAGAGUAGAAUUCCUGGUGUAGCGGUGAAAUGCGUAGAUAUCAGGAGGAACACCCGUAGCGAAGGCGGCACUCUGGGCCGGAACUGACGCUGAGGAGCGAAAGCGUGGGGAGCAAACAGG
rnacentral:rRNA from 1 species